GAAAUAUGACAAUCAAGUACAAGCUUCUAACUUAAUACUUAAGCGAUGAAAUUUCGUUUAUAUUUCU
rnacentral:tRNA from 1 species